UACGUAGGGUGCGAGCGUUAAUCGGAAUUACUGGGCGUAAAGCGUGCGCAGGCGGUUUUGUAAGCCAGGUGUGAAAUCCCCGGGCUCAACCUGGGAAUGGCAUUUGGGACUGCAAGGCUGGAGUUUGGCAGAGGAGACUGGAAUUCCCGGUGUAGCAGUGAAAUGCGUAGAUAUCGGGAGGAAUACCGAUGGCGAAGGCAGGUCUCUGGGCUAUAACUGACGCUCAUGCACGAAAGCGUGGGGAGCAAACAGG
rnacentral:rRNA from 1 species